GUGAGCACCCAACCUUCAGCCCAGCUCACUGUCCACCAGCUGGAUAAUCACCAGCAGCAAUAGAUCUCUACCGACUGAAAGGUUGGCAGUUCGAAGCCUGGGUCGGGGUGAGCACCCAACCUUCAGCCCAGCUCACUGUCCACCAGCUGGAUAAUCACCAGCAGCAAUAGAUCUCUACCGACUGAAAGGUUGGCAGUUCGAAGCCUGGGUCGGGGUGAGCACCCAACCUUCAGCCCAGCUCACUGUCCACCAGCUGGAUAAUCACCAGCAGCAAUAGAUCUCUACCGACUGAAAGGUUGGCAGUUCGAAGCCUGGGUCGGGGUGAGCACCCAACCUUCAGCCCAGCUCACUGUCCACCAGCUGGAUAAUCACCAGCAGCAAUAGAUCUCUACCGACUGAAAGGUUGGCAGUUCGAAGCCUGGGUCGGGGUGAGCACCCAACCUUCAGCCCAGCUCACUGUCCACCAGCUGGAUGAUCACCACCAGCAAUAGAUCUCUACCGACUGAAAGGUUGGCAGUUCGAAGCCUGGGUCGGGGGUGAGCACCCAACCUUCAGCCCAGCUCACUGUCCACCAGCUGGAUAAUCACCAGCAGCAAUAGAUCUCUACCGACUGAAAGGUUGGCAGUUCGAAGCCUGGGUCGGGGUGAGCACCCAACCUUCAGCCCAGCUCACUGUCCACCAGCUGGAUAAUCACCAGCAGCAAUAGAUCUCUACCGACUGAAAGGUUGGCAGUUCGAAGCCUGGGUCGGGGGUGAGCACCCAACCUUCAGCCCAGCUCACUGUCCACCAGCUGGAUAAUCACCAGCAGCAAUAGAUCUCUACCGACUGAAAGGUUGGCAGUUCGAAGCCUGGGUCGGGGUGAGCACCCAACCUUCAGCCCAGCUCACUGUCCACCAGCUGGAUAAUCACCAGCAGCAAUAGAUCUCUACCGACUGAAAGGUUGGCAGUUCGAAGCCUGGGUCGGGGUGAGCACCCAACCUUCAGCCCAGCUCACUGUCCACCAGCUGGAUAAUCACCAGCAGCAAUAGAUCUCUACCGACUGAAAGGUUGGCAGUUCGAAGCCUGGGUCGGGGUGAGCACCCAACCUUCAGCCCAGCUCACUGUCCACCAGCUGGAUAAUCACCAGCAGCAAUAGAUCUCUACCGACUGAAAGGUUGGCAGUUCGAAGCCUGGGUCGGGGUGAGCACCCAACCUUCAGCCCAGCUCACUGUCCACCAGCUGGAUAAUCACCAGCAGCAAUAGAUCUCUACCGACUGAAAGGUUGGCAGUUCGAAGCCUGGGUCGGGGUGAGCACCCAACCUUCAGCCCAGCUCACUGUCCACCAGCUGGAUAAUCACCAGCAGCACUAGAUCUCUACCGACUGAAAGGUUGGCAGUUCGAAGCCUGGGUCGGGGGUGAGCACCCAACCUUCAGCCCAGCUCACUGUCCACCAGCUGGAUAAUCACCAGCAGCAAUAGAUCUCUACCGACUGAAAGGUUGGCAGUUCGAAGCCUGGGUCGGGGGUGAGCACCCAACCUUCAGCCCAGCUCACUGUCCACCUAAGCAGGUUGAAAACAGCUGUGAGCUGAGAAGUUAGGCACAGCUUAAGCGAGGGAGUGUUUUACAGCACCAUAAAAAGGAAAUACCAGCAAUGCCGGUGACCAAAGAACAAGAGGAAAAAAAUAUGAUCAAGGGCUCGUAAUCAUAGUGGUUGGAGUGACAGCACCCUCCUGUGGCCAGAACUGAGCACAACGUCCAGGACGCCGAAGUUGCAAAAAUGUCAACAUAAGACUGGAGAGACUCCCGGCCCUGCAGGUGUUUUGGACUGCAACUCCCACCAUUCCCGACAGCCUCAGGCCCUUUCCUUUUCCCCCUCAGCCGCUUAAGCGGCUGAGGGGGAAAAGGAAGGGGCCUGAGGCUGUCGGGAAUGGUGGGAGUUGCAGUCCAAAACACCUGAAGAGAAGGCCAAAGUUGGCCCGUGCCUGAAGUAGAACAAAACGGAGCAAUCAAAUCAAAAUUACAGGAAAAGAGAUUCCACCUAAACACUGGGAAGAGCUUCCUGUUGGUCACAGCAGUUCGGGAGAGGAAUAUGUGUCUGACUUGAGAUGCUCCUUCCUCCUCUGCAGGUUUUCAUCCAGAGGCUGGGUGGCCAUCUGCCAAGAGGGUUUGGGUUCUGUCUUCCUACCUGACAGGGCAGGGCUAUAGCACAGCAAGUUAACCACCAGCUGUAAUAAAUCUUAACAAUCGAACGGUGGGCAGUUCGAAGCCCGGGUCGAGGUGAGCACCCGUCCUUCAGCCCAGCUCACUGCCCACCUAGCAGAUCGAAAACAGCUGUGGGUAGAUAAAUAAGUAUUGCUUAAGUGGGGAGGUAUUUUAAGUAGUACCUCAAGGAAGUACAGUAGAGUCUCGCUUAUCCAACAUAAAUGGGCCAUCAGAAUGUUGGAUAAGCAAAAUGUUGGAUAAUAUGGAGGGAUAAGGAAAUCCCUCACCCCAUUCUCUCUCUCUCUCAUGGACUCUGGAGGCAAGUGGAUGCUGAAGGGGUGGAGGGCAUGGUGGAUGCGGGGUGGACGGAAGAGCCGGCGAGAAGCCUAGCCAUCCUCCUUGGCCAAAGGGCUCUCUCAGUGUGUCUUCUCUCCUGGCAAGCACCCGGCGCUUGGAGAGGCCCACUGCGGAUUGCUGCCUAGAAAAACAGAUGUUUCUCACCAAUGCGCAGCAGGCCUCUCCAAGUGCCGGGUGCCAGGAGGGAAAAGUCUCUGCGUCGUUGGCUCUGCAGCAAGCGCUCAAGGAGGUCCGAGAAGAGAAUUGUGGAAGGGAUUGUGCUGUCCCUGGGCUGCACUUUCUCUGCACCUUGUCUUCCUUGUGGGUGCCCGUCGGGAGGGAAAAGUCUUCACCAGCUGUGUCUUGUUCCGCCUGGUAAGCACCCGGCGCUUGGAGAGGACCACUGACAUUGCAGCAACAUUCAGCGGUCCUCUCCAAGCAUGGGGUGCUUGCCAGGAGGGAUGAGACGUGGCUGGCACACUUUUCCCUCCCAGCAAGCACCUGCCACUUGGAGAGGCCUGCUGCGCAUUGCUGAGAAACAGCUGUUUUCUAGGCAGCAUUGUGCAGCGGGCCUCUCCAAGUGGCAGGUGCUUGCUGGGAGGGAAAAGUCUGCGCCGGCCGUAUUUUGUUCCUCCCGGCAAGCGCCCUGAGCUUGAAGAGGCCUGCUGCAUGUUGCUGCCUCAAAAAACAGCUGUUUCUCGGCCUCUCUGAGCGUUGGUCACCCGCCAGGAGGGGUGAGACGCAGCCAGCGCACUGAACAAUACGGAGUGUUGGAUAACCGAAAGUGGGAUAACCGAGACUCUACUGUACCAGAAAAAUGCUGUUGAUCCAAAAAAAGGAGGAAGUUUGUGAACAGGGCUCUUUGACAUGGAGGAUGGGGCGACAGUACUCCCCGUGACCCGAAUAGAGCACAACCUCCAGGACGCCGAAGAUGGGAAAUACCUAUAUACCUCUAUCUGUCAUGUCUGGGUAUAAGCGCAUGGAAUGCUUGCUUUAUAUGUAUUCUGUGAUCCGCCCAAGUCUCCUUUGGGGUGAGAAGGGCGGAAUAUAAAUACUGUAAAUAAAAAUAAAUAAAUAAGGACGGGAUGGGCUGGAUAGUUUUGGAAAGAAGGGCUCUGUCUGAGUGAUAGCAAGGCAGCGCUCCUCUUCCUCCCUCCCUUGAGAAGAGAGCCUCCAGGUGUCCCAGGCUGAGAGGUGACACUGGAAGCCCAAAGCCCAGAGGAGCCAGGCAUGAUGUGAUGACUCAUGGGACAUGUAGUCCCGUUCCUAGUACUAUUGUGGCAGAUGAAGAGGAAAACUUGGGUUUUCCACCGUUUCAGUCAGAAUUGGAGCCCUUGCACCUGCAAGAUGUUUGGCCACGAGAAGUCAGCCAAACAAGCCUUGAGCAGAAAUCUCCCCCAUUUUCUCGCCGGGAUUAUUAUAAUCAAGAUAGAAGCGCUCGGGAGGCGACUCGCAGGAGCGCCAGGAUAGCUGCCAGACAAUUAGCUGAUUAAGUCUGUUUCCCUUGGGAAACUUUAAGGAGUCAAGCAUCUGGACACAGUAUGGGUUUCAUUUCUUGUUCCCCAGGGAAAGUGUUCCUUGGCGGGAAAACAAGAUCCUAUAUAGGUGUUUGCCCGCAAAGAAAUCCUGGCGGAGUCAAUUCGUCAGCUGGAGGAGUGAGAUCGUGUGUAGACUUCGUACUCCAGUUUCCUGUUCCACGGACCAAGUUUCCAGCCUUGCCUCGUCCCGCGUUUGCCACGGAUCUUGUUUACUCUUGUUGCCUUGUUUCAAGUCUUGUUCUAUCCAAGUAUCAAGUUUGCUUUCCAGCCUAAUUGCCAAGUUUCUAUGGACUUAAGGACCUUGUCUUCUCCCCACACUUUGCUUGGCAAAGUGUGUGUUUCGGUUAAUGGAUUAUAACUUUGGACUUUAAUAUCACAUAUUGGACAUUAUUUUCCUGGACUAUAUUUGACCUUUCCUGAAAGGUCUACUUCUGAACUAUAUUCCACACUUGUUUUUAUUGACUUUAUAUAAUUUCUUAAUAAAGAUAUUAGAUAGA